rnacentral:rRNA from 1 species
UACGAAGGGGGCUAGCGUUGCUCGGAAUCACUGGGCGUAAAGGGUGCGUAGCGGGUCUUUAAGUCAGGGGUGAAAUCCUGGAGCUCAACUCCAGAACUGCCUUUGAUACUGAGGAUCUUGAGUUCGGGAGAGGUGAGUGGAACUGCGAGUGUAGAGGUGAAAUUCGUAGAUAUUCGCAAGAACACCAGUGGCGAAGGCGGCUCACUGGCCCGAUACUGACGCUGAGGCACGAAAGCGUGGGGAGCAAACAGGG